rnacentral:rRNA from 1 species
AACGAACGCUGGCGGCAUGCCUAACACAUGCAAGUCGAACGAGACCUUCGGGUCUAGUGGCGCACGGGUGCGUAACGCGUGGGAACCUGCCCUUAGGUUCGGAAUAACUCCCCGAAAGGGGUGCUAAUACCGGAUAAUGUCUUCGGACCAAAGAUUUAUCGCCUUUGGAUGGGCCCGCGUUGGAUUAGCUAGUUGUUAGGGUAAAAGCCUACCAAGGCGACGAUCCAUAGCUGGUCUGAGAGGAUGAUCAGCCACACUGGGACUGAGACACGGCCCAGACUCCUACGGGAGGCAGCAGUGGGGAAUAUUGGACAAUGGGCGAAAGCCUGAACCAGCAAUGCCGCGUGAGUGAUGAAGGCCUUAGGGUUGUAAAGCUCUUUUACCCGGGAUGGUAAUGACAGUACCGGGAGAAUAAGCUCCGGCUAACUCCGUG